rnacentral:lncRNA from 1 species
GCAGCUUUGUAAAGUGCACCCACUUCCGCUCAAUAAUCAUUGCCCUUAUUUCCCCAUCUUGCCUUUGAUUGGGCCUCAAACCUCUUUCUAGCACAAAACUCUUAUUUACAAUUGUUUGAUUAUACUUUUUUUAUGCCUAUUCACUAAUAAACUUAGUAUGGUCCCAUGUUGGUGUCGUUUGAGAUGAGCCAGUACUAGUUCUUUUGGCAUUUAGAAGCAAUGUCAAAAAAUUUCAGUAAAUUUGUUGCACAAAUAUGGAAUACUUGGCCAAUUCAAAACCAAAUCUUGCCCCAACUGAACACCAAUUAACAAUCCCAAAGCAAAUCAACCAAAAACUAAACCAAUUUGUUGAAAGCGACUGUCAAAUACCAAGCUAACAAGAAUUUCUAGUCCAAGAACUUAGGUGAAUCAAAAAUAAGUGAAUGCUUAAUUGUGCCAAAAAUCAAACACCUGGCGUGCUCUCUUUCAAACUGAAAUUUUUAGCCCUUUUUUUAGUAAUCACAAACCAAAAAUUUUCCAUACAGUAGAAUUUACCUAAUACAGAAUAUAAUCCAAGCCUAAAUAAAUUGAAACUCAAAUAGUAUACUAGAUGCUUAAUUUCCUUAAAGAAGGAGUGAUAUCCAAAUUACCUAAAAACGUUUUGAUGAGAACCCUAGAUCCGAAGAACUUGAAGUGAGAAAUCCUUGUGAUGGCACAAAAUUAGGUUCAGAAGCGGAUUAGGAUGUUAUGUAGUCUGAUGGCCUGAAUUGGGGGAAGUUUUGAUUGAUGGGAGCCGGAUAAGAAGAGAAAAAAAUGUUUUAACUGUGUAUGCUGAGCGAUGCCUAAGUAAGGCAACAAAAUUUCACUACUGGUUCUGCUGCGCUGCAGUGCUCGCUUUUAAACUUGGGCUUUGAGGGAGGCGCUGUAGUGCUUGUUGAAGAACAAACAUAAGCGAUGCAACAUAUUUUUCCAGUAGGUUAGGGUGGAUGAUGGUGUUGCAGCGCCAGUUACUAGGCUUUUGGACGUGCUACAGUGCAGGCAUUAUGAAUUUGAACAUGAACAAGGCGCUGCAGCGCUGGUUGAAGGGCAAAGCCAGACGUUGCAGUAGGCAAUUUUUUUUAACCUUUCCAGCACAGCAAACACUAG